rnacentral:rRNA from 1 species
UACGUAGGGGGCUAGCGUUGUCCGGAAUCAUUGGGCGUAAAGCGCGUGUAGGCGGUCCGGUAAGUCCGCUGUGAAAGUCGGGGGCUCAACCCGCGGAUGCCGGUGGAUACUGUCGGGCUUGAGUACGGAAGAGGCGAGUGGAAUUCCUGGUGUAGCGGUGAAAUGCGCAGAUAUCAGGAGGAACACCAAUUGCGAAGGCAGCUCGCUGGGACGUUACUGACGCUGAGACGCGAAAGCGUGGGGAGCAAACAGG